rnacentral:lncRNA from 1 species
ACUUCCAUGGCCCCUUAGCCAUGCCAAGGGGCAGUACCGGCUUUCUGCUGAUGCUGACGAGCUGUGGUGUGAACUCACGAAGGCUGCUCAGGACUGAGGCUGAGACGGGCGACCAGGACGGGAUUGUAUGGCUGCAGGAGGCUACACAGUCCCAGGAGGCUGCUUCUAAGAUGCCCACGUGGCCUGCAUAGGGAUGCGCCUGGCUGUCCAGCAUGUGGUCAUUUGAAUUGUACAUGUUUCACUGGGAUGCCUACAGAAAAGUAGACAGAAGAUGUGGAAAAAGUUUUUGAAAUGUUGCAAACUUAGCUACUUUUAAAAUAAAAAAAUAGCUUUAUAAUUAUAAAAGCAAUAUGUAAAUCUUAAAAUAAUUUGCUACAUUCUAGUAAGCAUCUUAUGAUCUCUAUGUGCCCUAUAACAUUAUGUUGUAUAGUUUAAAUAUAUACAAUAAAAUCUAUUUUAAAAAAUA